AGGGUUAGCCAUCUGGGGUCUUCAGCCACAGCCCUGCUUCCAAUCUUCCGUGGCGGAGAUAUGCGGUUAACUUGACUGAGCUAAGCGAUGCCAUGCUGGACCACGCACGUUAACAGACCAUCAGCCGAGCCUAGUAAUAUUACUAAUUUGUCUUAUUGUAUGAAUGUAAUGAAUGGCAAAACCGUUAGAAAAAAGGAGCUAAAGUCCAAUAGAUGGGGGACAAAAAAAAGUGGUGGAAGGGUGGAUUGUGUUGGUGCAUUACAUAAACUUGGGGGUAAAAGGGCCAAGGUAUAAACAUUUAGAAAUAAUAUAUUUUUUUUUAAUAAUGGGAAGCCAUUUUAUAUAUAAGAAAAUAGGGCUUGUGCACAAAACGGGUACAGACAUUAACACAUAAACAACAUGGUCUCUAUUGUAUAAAACCUACCCUACUCAAUCUUAUAUUGGGACCCCAUUAAUGUGGCGCUCUGUCCUUGACACACACAAAUGGAAUCCCAAACCCCCCCCUGACUUUUUAUGGUUGUGUCAUUGGGAAAUCUCCCUUCUCUCACUAAUGGCACUCCAUGCUGACGUUUUCUCGCCAGGUGCCAUCUUGGAACUCUCUCUCACUUAAACACCUCUUAGACUCUGCCAGCCUCUUCCAAAAUUGGCCGACAGGUGUCCCCUAUUCAAGCCCUUUCAUACCAGACUGUGCUUUAACCAGAGCAGAAAGCGAAACAUCCACUCGUGAUGUUGCCUUGGCUUUCUGUAACAUUGCUAAGCUUAUCUCAUACACUGUGUUUUAUUGGUUUGUGUUGUAGUUUGGUAGGAAGCUAAUAACUAAACCUAUAAACUCAAGUCAUGAUCUCAUGCACAGCAAUAUUUUUGGAAACUUCAAGUUCAGAGCGAGGAGCGUGGACUUCUGCAGCAAAAUAUUUGCUUAUUAAAAAAACAAACUGUACCCUAAAUUACAUCUUGCACCAUAAUGUUAGUGCUUGGCGUGUCUUCUUCCAUAUGGAAGGGGUGUAGUGUCUGUGAUGUUAAUUAUUAACAAGGAGUAGCAUCUGCCUGCACAGUUGAGUAUUAGUAGAAGGUAGUGCCUGCCUGCACAGUUGAGUAUUAGUAGAAGGUAGUGUCUGCGUGCACAGUUGAGUAUUAGUAGAAGGUAGUGUCUGCCUGCACAGUUGAGUAUUAGUAGAAGGUAGUGUCUGUCUGCACAGUUGAGUAUUAGUAGAAGGUAGUGCCUGCCUGCACAGUUGAGUAUAAGUAGAAGGUAGUGUCUGUCUGCACAGUUGAGUAUUAGUAGAAGGUAGUGCCUGCCUGCACAGUUGAGUAUUAGUAGAAGGUAGUGCCUGCCUGCACAGUUGAGUAUUAGUAGAAGGUAGUGUCUGCCUGCACAGUUGAGUAUUAGUAGAAGGUAGUGCCUGCCUGCACAGUUGAGUAUUAGUAGAAGGUAGCCUGCACAGUUGAGUAUUAGUAGAAGGUAGUGUCUGCCUGCACAGUUGAGUAUUAGUAGAAGGUAGUGCCUGCCUGCACAGUUGAGUAUUAGUAGAAGGUAGUGCCUGCCUGCACAGUUGAGUAUUAGUAGAAGGUAGUGCCUGCCUGCACAGUUGAGUAUUAGUAGAAGGUAGUGUCUGCCUGCACAGUUAAGUAACGUUGUUAGACGGUAGUGUCUCCCUGUACAUGAGAUUUUUAAUAGAGGGUGCCAUCUUCCUGCACAAUUGAGUAUUAAUGGAUGAUCUAGUGUGCCUGCAGGCAGAGUAUUAUUUGGGGUAGAGUCUUCCUAGUCAGCUGAGCAUUAGCGGAUGGUAAUGUUUGCCUGCACAGCCGAGUGUUAGUAGUGAUUAGUCUGCGUACAGAGCCGAGUGUUAGUAGUGAUUUAGUCUGUGUACAGAGCUGAGUGUUAGUAGUGAUUAGUUUGCGUACAGAGCUGAGUGUUAGUAGUGAUUAGUCUGCGCACAGCUCCGAGUGUUAGUAGUGAUUAGUCUGCGCACAGCUCCUAGUGUUAGUAGUGAUUAGUCAGCGCACAGAGCCGAGUGUUAGUAGUUAUUCUGCGUACAGAGCCGAGUGUUAGUAUUGAUUAGUCUGUGUACAGCUCUGAGUGUUAGUGAUUAGUCUGCGCACAGCGCCGAGUGUUAGUAGUGAUUAGUCUGCGUACAGAGCUGAGUGUUAGUAGUGAUUAGUCUGCGCACAGCUCCGUGUGUUAGUAGUGAUUAGUCUGCGCACAGAGCCGAGUGUUAGUAGUGAUUAGUCUGCGCACAGAGCCGAGUGUUAGUAGUGAUUAGUCUGCGUACAGAGCCGAGUGUUAGUAGUUAUUAGUCUGCGCACAGAGCCGAGUGUUAGUAGUGAUUAGUCUGCGCACAACACCGAGUGUUAGUAGUGAUUAGUCUGCGCACAGCUCCGAGUGUUAGUAGUGAUUAGUCUGCGCACAGCUCCGAGUGUUAGUAGUGAUUAGUCUGCGCACAGCGCCGAGUGUUAGUAGUGAUUAGUCUGCGUACAGAGCUGAGUGUUAGUAGUGAUUAGUCUGCGCACAGCUCCGUGUGUUAGUAGUGAUUAGUCUGCGCACAGAGCCGAGUGUUAGUAGUGAUUAGUCUGCGCACAGAGCCGAGUGUUAGUAGUGAUUAGUCUGCGUACAGAGCCGAGUGUUAGUAGUGAUUAGUCUGCGCACAGCACCGAGUGUUAGUAGUGAUUAGUCUGCGCACAGCACCGAGUGUUAGUAGUGAUUAGUCUGCGCACAGCUCCUAGUGUUAGUAGUGAUUAGUCUGCGCACAGUGCCGAGUGUUAGGAGGUGCACAGAUUCGUAGUAUGCCAUUGCACAGGAUGAUUUUAGUGUGAGCAGCAGAUAAGGGAGGUUGAUGGUGGAGCUCAUACCUGCCAGAGACAUAAAUAAACAUUUCCUUUCAUAGACUGUGAGAUAAACAGAGUUGGAGGGGUGAGGAAUGUGAGAUAGUGUGUGUGUGUGUGUGGAGAGAGGAGGGGGAGUUACAAAGCAGAGAGGUCAUACUCCAACAAAACUACACACCCUCCACAUUUGUUGCCUGCUGUUAACCCCUGCACAGUGUCAGCACAGGCGCUUUGCUGGGUUAAUAUCUGGCGUAGAUGGGCCUGACUGUUUAUUAUCAGGACAAGAUCAGAGAAUGUUGAAUUGUUUAGCAAUGCGGCAGAUCUGGUUUUAUGUUUUCAGUAUGGGUAGAGAGAACACUAAAUUUUACAAUAUAUGAAACCCGACUGUUAUGAGAACAAGCUUAGAAAACCAGAAGUAUUGUAACGUAGAAAUAAAUUCAGACUCUGUUAUCAGGACAACCUGAAGUGGUGGCAAGGUUAUGUGUAAUGUAAGAGAUCUAAAUUGUUAUGAGCAAUGCAGGCCUCGGCACUUCCGAGUUCUUGUUUUUGAAAAGAAACCAAAAAUCUCAAUACAUUUGAAUAUGACUGAAAAAUAUAUAUUUAUUCAUUCAUCCCUUACAGAAAUAGUGGUAGCACUUAUAUUAUUGUAGCAGAAAUAAAAAUUUUAAUAUACAGAUGCUGUGACAUAGAAGAAUAAAAUGCAUCCCUCAAACUGUCCAAGUUAAGCCAGACUGCCCCGAAUUCGGGCUCUUGGCCGUCUGUCCAGGGUUAGUCUGUUGGUGUCCCACAACUAGGUUUUCCAGGGAAAUGUCCCCAAUCAAUACAGUUCUGGCAGAUCAAAAAACAGUUGUGCCAUGCGUAACAUUGUCAGGGCAUUAAACACAAACCCAGAGUGCUUCAAAAGUGCUCGGUGCAGGUGUUGCCCCAAGCGCGCCAUCCAGACAGGCUGCCAUACUCCUUCAGGCGUCUGUCCCCUUUCCAGGCUGGACAGUCCUUACUGGUAUGCAUCCUAUGUAAAAAUGUCUGCAUGUGGGCUUAAUUUCCACUCUCAAUUACAGUUGCACCAACAAUCUAUUCCAUACAGUACAAAGAAUCCAUGUAAUGUUUGCAGUGUGUACUGUGUAGAGACCAAUUCUUCCCUCGCCCGCCUACUUGGCUGAUAGAUUGCAGCCAUGAGUUUGACCUACAAAUUUUCCUGUGGAGUAAGCAGGUUUGCUACAUUACCUGUCCUUUUCCAGAGAUGUUAUAACACUUAAUAGAGACUUGGCAGAUUUAUAUAUAUAUAUAUAUUCUGUACUAAUCAUUUCACAGUGUGAAAUGAUUAGUACAGAGUGCUGUGUGUGUGUUUUAUAUUUAUUAGGCUGCUGCUGGGCCACUGGGAUAUUGUGAAAAUUCCUGGUGGGUCUGCCUUUGGGCAGGUGUGCGGACAAAUAGCUACCUAUGGGGGCGCAUGGCACAAUCGGUGGGAGGGAUAGAGCACCCCAACUGCUGGUAGCUGCAUGUAGCGUGACCGCAGUGGAGAAGCUUCUGUUCCUUUUCCUGGCUUGACCGGAAGUGUUUUUUCCCAGUGAACAGAAGUACCUCCAUUGAGGUCAGUGGCUUGGCCCGCUACAGAAGGUACGGGGGGUGGAGUAAUGAUAUGUGGAGGGACUGGGGGAAGGGAUUGAGACACCAUGGGAGAAUGGGACACAUACAGGGGUUGGGGGAGGAAUGGGACACAUACCGGGGAUGGGGGAGGAAUGGGACACAUACCGGGGCUGGAGGAGGAAUGGGACACAGACAGGGGCUGGUGGGGGGAUUGGGACACCUGGAGGGCAUAGAGAAGGGUAAAAAGACACAAAGGGGCUGGGAUGAAGUAAAACAUACACAAAGGGGAAAAUGGGAGACAAGAUACAUUACAGCAGGUGAGAUAAUCAAGAGGGGGCGGUGGGGGGUUGCACCUUCGCCUGUGUCUCCUACUCUCCCUGUAACUCAGUUCUUCAGCACAGGAGUCUAUGCCAAAGAACUGAUUGACAGGUGAGAGAGACAUCUUAUUAAAGGGACAUUAUAGUCACCAGUACCACUACAUUUAAAAUAGUGGUUCUGGUGUCUAGAGCCUGUCCCUGCGGGCUAAGCACUGUAAAUUUACAUUGCUCCCUAGGAACACCUCUAGUAGCAGUCACUUACAUAUCUCUGCAUGGAGAGGAGCUGAACACUCCACAUAGAGUUGCAUUGCUUCAAUGCAUCUCCAUGAGGAGAUGCUGACUGGCACGGUGCAGUGUUUUGCCAUACAUGCGCAGUAGCCUCCCAGUGCUUUUCUAUGGAACAAAAUUGGAUUGGCUGAGAUCCUCAAGAUUAAUCUCCGCUAAUGUGAAGAGCAGGCUCAUAGGACUUCAAAGUAAAACAAGAUAAAGUAUUUUUUAUUUCCAGCUGUGCAACAGCAUACAUUCACCAUUUCAGUCCCAUUACCAAAGCUUUCUAAAUAUGUCAAGGUAGUUGGACUGUAACACUAGUUAUAUGCAUUUCUGCUUAAAAUAAAUCCGCUCUUUUUUUGUUUAUUUGGUAAUCGUGCUUUAUUUCACAUUCAAGUAAUAGUUUUUAUAUUUUAAGUUCUCUUUUCCUCCUCUAUAUCUACACACUAGGCUGGCGCGAUGCAUUAUUGGGCUAGUAUAGAAUUAUUUUUUGGGGUUGAUUUUCGUUUCAAGUCUGGCCUGGGACAUAAGCAUGGCUUGAAUGGGCUCGUUGUGCUUUGCCAUUCAUGACGACCGCCAUGCAUACAUGUUAAUGGGAGUGAAGGGGUUAAACAUAUAUUCUAGGUGUGUAGUUGGGCCAGUAUUAACCUAGAACAGAAGCCAAAGUUAGUUGUUCCUAGAAAUUAAGAUCACUUCGCUGUUAUGGUCUGAAUGAAUUACUGGGGGAAGGUCAGGUGUUCUGCUAGUGGAAAAUUUUGCUGUGGCUACUUGGACAUGUCCGCAGAACGGAUCAGUUAACACUAGAGAGUUGCCAUGGAAAUGCGUGCAGGUUUGCUGAAAAGCUGCAGGAUGUUCUUCUAAUCCUUCAACAUCACAAGAACUGAACUCAAGAUUCCGCACACUCACCAUGUACAUUUACAGGGCUAUUUGUUAACGGGAGAAAUAAAAGCGAAUUUCAAAUUUAAGGUCAAAAUUGCCCGGUUGAAAACCUUCUCUUAAGUAAUUUUGGCUACUCUGACCUUAAAUAGGAAAUUCUCACCUUCGGAAAUAACCCUGUCUGUCUUGUGUGUGAAAAUUAAUGUCCGUAAUGAGUGCCAUGUGUGCAGAGUGGGGUGAUUAAUAGAUGGUACUGUAUGUGUAGCGUGAGCUGUUUAGUAAAAGGUGCUAUGAAGGGCCAAAUUUAUAUUAACAUGCUUUGAAAUUGGCCCAAAGCAGUCUAUAACUAUAACGGCUAAGUAUUUUUUCAUUAUGAUUAUGAAGUAGGCUGCUGCCACCGCAGUGACACUCCACUUGUUUUAUUUUAUUGUCUUGGGGUAGACGGCAGUGUGCACAUAGGAAAACAGGUUUUGUCGUAUCUGCACAGCCUGAAAGUCCGUUAUGUGACAUCGCAAGGAGGGAAAGAAAGUAUGUCAACCAGCAAUAAACUUGCUGUAUAUCACGUGUAAUAUAUAACCAAAGCGCAAUGAAAAUGUAAACUUAGGAAGCCCUAUAUCUAUAGGUGGUGCUGUAUGUGCAGAGAGACGAUUAGUAGAGGGUGCUGUGUGUGUGUGCGUGCAGAGAUAGAUGAUUAUGAGAGGGUGUUGUGUGUGUCUGGGUGUGUGCAGAGAGAGCAAAAUAGUAGAGGGUGCUGUGUGAGUGUGCAUAGAGAGAUGAUUAGGAGAGGGUGCUGUGUGUGCAGAGAGAGCUAAAUAGGAGAGGGUGCUGUGUGUGUGCAGAGAGAGCUAAAUAGGAGAGGGUGCUGUGUGUGUGCAGAGAGAGCUAAAUAGGAGAGGGUGCUGUGUGUGUGCAGAGAGAGCUAAAUAGGAGAGGGUGCUGUGUGUGUGCAGAGAGAGCUAAAUAGGAGAGGGUGCUGUGUGUGCGUGUGCGUGCAGAGAGAGCAAAAUAGUAGAGGGUGCUGUGUGCGUGUGCAGAGAGACACGAUUAGGAGAGGGUGCUGUGUGCGUGUGCAGAGAGAUCUUAAUAGGAGAGGGUGCUGUGUGUGCAGAGAGAGCUAAAUAGGAGAGGGUGCUGUGUGUGUGCACGCGUGCAGAUAGAGACGAUUAGUAUUAGUGAUAUUUCAGAAGGUCUUGAUGGUAAGGUAUGUCUUUUUGCUGAUGAUACUAAGAUAUGUAACAGGGUUGAUGUUCCAGGAGGGAUAAGCCAAAUGGCAAAUGAUUUAGGUAAACUAGAAAAAUGGUCAGAAUUGUGGCAACUGACAUUUAAUGUGGAUAAGUGCAAGAUAAUGCAUCUUGGACGUAAAAACCCAAGGGCAGAGUACAGAAUAUUUGAUAGAGUCCUAACCUCAACAUAUGAGGAAAGGGAUUUAGGGGUGAUUAUUUCUGAUGACUUAAAGGUAGGCAGACAAUGUAAUAGAGCAGCAGGAAAUGCUAGCAGAAUGCUUGGUUGUAUAGGGAGAGGUAUUAGCAGUAGAAAGAGGGAAGUGCUCAUGCCAUUGUACAGAACACUGGUGAGACCUCACUUGGAGUAUUGUACACAGUACUGGAGACCGUAUCUUCAGAAGGAUAUUGAUACCUUAGAGAGGGUUCAGAGAAGGGCUACUAAACUGGUUCAUGGAUUGCGGGAUAAAACUUACCAGGAAAGGUUAAAGGAUCUUAACAUGUAUAGCUUGGAGGAAAGACGAGACAGGGGGGAUAUGAUAGAAACAUUUAAAUAUAUAAAAGGGAAUCAACACAGUAAAGGAGGAGACUAUAUUUAAAAGAAGAAAAACUACCACAACAAGAGGACAUGGUCUUAAAUUAGAGGGACAAAGGUUUAAAAAUAAUAUCAGGAAGUAUUACUUUACUGAGAGGGUAGUGGAUGCAUGGAAUAGCCUUCCAGCUGAAGUGGUAGAGGUUAACACAGUAAAGGAGUUUAAGCAUGCGUGGGAUAGGCAUAAGGCUAUCCUAACUAUAAGAUAAGGCCAGGGACUAAUGAAAGUAUUUUGAAAAUUGGGCAAACUAGAUGGGCCGAAUGGUUCUUAUCUGCCGUCACAUUCUAUGUUUCUAUGGUGUGUGUGUGUGUGUGUGUAGAGUAAGCUGACUAGAAGAGGGUGCUGUGUGUGUGCAAUGUAAAAUUAUUAGUACAGCGUGCUGUUUUUGUAGUGUGAAAUAAUUAGUACAGCCUGCUGUGUGUGUUUGUGUACACAAUGAGAUGAUUAGUACCGGGGUCUGUGCUUGUUUGUAUGUGGAAUGAGAUGAUUUUGUAGAGGGCCCUGUGAGUGCGGAAUGAGAUGAUUUCGUACUAGUACUAGAAUUUGCUUUAGAAUGCGAUGACUACGAUUGGGGUUAAUUUGUGCAGAGUGAGCUGGUGACUAGAGGUUGCUGCGUGUGGCAAGUCAUAUAAUUAGCACACAGUGUUGCUUGCAUACAACUCUGCAUGGGGAAUAAGUAGAAAGUGAAUAGUGUACUGGGUGCUAUUAGUACAGAAUCAGAUAUUGUAAACGAUUAUCAGAGGGUCCUGUGUGUGCUGUGUAAUUGGAAGAGGAAGUCCCCUUGCUGUGCAUCCUGCAGUCGCUUCUUAUCUAAACAUCCCACUAGUGAUGGAGACUGGACCAGAUCUGUUACCAAGGCAACCACACUAGAGACAGGCUGUUACCAUGGAAACCUGCAAAAAGAUUAGACCCAGAACAGAAAACAGAAGCAAGAAAACCAAUAAUUCAAUUGCCAUCCUCGGCUUAGGGCAUUGCCAACCUCAUCCCCCAUCACCCAGAAUGCACCCAGUGUUACUCAGAUACAUCUUGAGUCAUUAAUAGCAAUGCCAUUAUUACUGCAGAAUUACCCAGCGUCCCUUGGCAUUACCAGUCUUCCAUAACUUAACCCAUGAUAUUGCAGCAUCACACAAAUCAUUGACCGAGCCCCCACCCACCCUCCCCACCAACCCAUUCUCUGCCAGCAAAUGCCAGAAACACUGCACCUAAUCCACAGUCCUGCCCCCACUCUCCCCAGGAUACUUGCAGCAUUGCCCAUACCUGUGGCAUUUCCUUAUUCACACAUGGUAACGCUACCGCUAUACCGCCUAACCAUGGGCACUGCCAGCGUAAAGUAACCUCACCCAGGUCAUUGCCAGGGUCACAGAACCUCCGGUCUCUACAGUGUUAUUGUGACCUAUAAUAUUGCUGCCACUGCCAAGGUGCCUGCUGUAUUUUUAAUUUGGCACCGCAACCUUACACUAACACUGUUGGCUCUAAUGUUUUUUAAGAAGAAUCUUCCAUUCCUCUCCCUUGGCAUUGCAUGUCCUGCCCAAAGCCUUCAUUUACCCAUAUUGUUAUGAAUGUUGCAGGGCGGUACCAGCAAAUGCCAGAUAUAACUGUACACACUGUGGGUGUUGAAGUACAUGGAUUGAAUCUAGAAAGUAUUUUAUCUAUCCCAGGAGUGAGGUAUAGUGAUAACAAGUAUAAAAUGAGGCUGCAACUGACUGCUCCCUCUCAUCCCCAGCCUGUCCCUCCCUCCCUCCCUCUGCUGUCUGUGUACCCUUCCUGUCUAGUCACUAGCUGCUGGCUCAGAGCCUGGGGGUCUGCGAAGGGAGGCGAGAGAGGGCAGGAGAGAUGGGAGAGACAACCAAGUGUGCAGGAGAGUUGAGAAAGAGGGCAGGAGAGAAGAGAUGAGAGAGGGCAGGCAGGAGAGAUGAGAGAGCAUACAGAAGAGAGAUCAAACAGAUGAUAGAAAAGAGGCAGGAGUGAUGGGAGAACUUAGAGAGAGAGAGGACAGAGAAUAGAUAAGAGAUAAAAAAUUGUGCAGGAAAAUGGCACAAAAUAAAGACUGAAUAGAUUGGAGAGGAAAGAGAAAGCAGGAGAGAGAAUGGAGAGGGGAGGAAGGACAAGAGAUUCGAUGGAGAGAAUGAGCAUGGGGUGGAGAGAGAUUGGAGAAUGGGGGGGUGGUAAGGCGGGCUAAUGUGAGAGAGUGUGAGUGGGCACGAGAGAGUGAGCAGACGGGAAAUAAGAGAAUGUGAAUAGGAGAGAUGAAAAUGGGGAGAGGGACUGAGAGACAUGGGCAGGAUAUACUACUAGGAGUGCAAGGGAGAAUUAGAGGGAUGAUAGAAUGAUGAGACAGAGCAAAUAAGAGAGGGCAGGUAAGAGACAGAGCAAUGAAGACAAGGAUGAUAGAAAGCUGAAGGGACAUGAAUGAGAGACAUGACAGAUGGGAGUGAGACUGUGGUUUAGAGAGUGCAGUAUAGAUGAGUAAGAGAGUGGUUCAGACUGCAGGGGAGACUGUGAGCAGAGGAGAAUAUGCAGGGGAGACCGGAGUGAGGGCAGGGAAGAGUGAACAGGAGAGAUGGGAUUGAGAGAGCUUGUAAAAGAGUGCAGGAGAAAUGGGGGAGAGAGAUGACAGACAGCGUGCAGGAGAGAUAGGAGGGAGAAAACAGGUAGUGGGGGCUGGUAGAGAGCAGGAACGGGUGCAGGAGGGCUGGUAGAGCGCAGGAACGGGUGCUGGGGGGCUGGUAGAGAGCAGGAACGGGUGCAGGAAGGCUGGUAGAGAGCAGGUGACGGGUGCAGGAGGGCUGGUAGAGAGCAGGUGACGGGUGCAGGAGGGCUGGUAGAGAGCAGGUGACGGGUGCAGGAGGGCUGGAAGAGAGCAGGUAACAGGUGCAGGAAUGCUGGUAGAGAGCAGGUAACGGGUGCAGGAGAGCUGGUAGAGAGCAGGUAACGAGUGCAGGAGAGAUAGGAGGGAGAAAACAGGUAAUGGGUGCAGGAUAGCUGGUUGAGAGCAGGUAACGGGUGCAGGAGAGCUAGUUGAGAGCAGGUAACGGGUGCAGGAGAGCUAGUUGAGAGCAGGUAACGGGUGCAGGAGAGCUAGUUGAGAGCAGGUAACGGGUGCAGGAGAGCUGGUUGAGAGCAGGUAACGGGCGCAGGAGAGCUGGUAGAGAGCAGGCAACGGGCGCAGGAGAGCUGGUAGAGAGCAGGCAACGGGCGCAGGAGAGCUGGUAGAGAGCAGGCAACGGCUUAUAGGAGCUGGUAAAGAGAGCAGGGCAACGGGCGCAGUGGAGAGUCGGUAGAGAGCAGGCAACGGGCGAGCAGGAGAGCUGGUAGAGAGCAGGCAAAGGGUGCAGGAGAGCUGGUAGAGAGCAGGUAACGGGUGCAGGGAGCUUGCAGAGCAGGCAAAGGGUGCAGGAGAGCUCAGAGAGCAAGGGCAACGGGCAGGAGAGCUGGUAGAGAGCAGGCAACGGGUGCAGGAGAGCUGGUAGAGAGCAGGCAAAGGGUGCAGGAGAGCUGGUAGAGAGCAGGCAAAGGGUGCAGGAGAGCUGGUAGAGAGCAGGCAAAGGGUGCAGGAGAGCUGGUAGAGAGCAGGCAACGGGUGCAGGAGAGCUGGUAGAGAGCAGGCAACGGGGCAGGAGAGCUGGUAGAGAGCAGGCAAAGGGUGCAGGAGAGCUGGUAGAGAGCAGGCAACGGGUGCAGGAGAGCUGGUAGAGAGCAGGCAAACGGGUGCAGGAGAGCUGGUAGAGAGCAGGCAACGGGUGCAGGAGAGCUGGUAGAGAGCAGGUAACGGGUGCAGGAGGACUGGUAGAGAGCAGGUAACGGGUGCAGGAGAGCUGGUAGAGAGCAGGCAACGGGUGCAGGAGAGCUGAUAGAGAGCAGGCAAAGGGUGCUGGUAGAGAGCAGGAGGGUGCUGGUAGGAGAGCUGGUAGAGAGCAGGCAACGGGUGCAGGAGAGCUGGUAGAGAGCAGGCAAAGCUGGUGGUAGAGAGCAGGUAACGGGUGCAGGAGGGCUGGUAGAGAGCAGGUAACGGGUGCAGGAGAGCUGGUAGAGAGCAGGUAACGGGUGCAGGAGGACUGGUAGAGAGCAGGUAACGGGUGCAGGAGAGCUGGUAGAGAGCAGGUAACGGGUGCAGGAGGACUGGUAGAGAGCAGGUAACGGGUGCAGGAGAGCUGGUAGAGAGCACGUAUGUGAGAUGGAGGAAAAAGAAAACAUGAGUAAAUGGGCUGGUGCAUGCAUUGUUCCAUAUUACUUAAUACUUUAUUUUCAAUGAUUAUUUAUUUUUUUAGUUGGAAUCCCAUAUUUCUUUUUGAAAACCUGCUAUUCCCUUCAAUUAGUGUGAAUGAGAAUCUGUGUCCCAUGUGGCCAUUGUAAAAUGACUCCCAAACCCAGAACUGGCUCCUCCAUCAUCCCUGGAACAGUCUGUUUAUCUGCCACCCCCACCCCAUUGCCAAUUGAGUAGAACUAUCUGCCCGCACCCCCUUUGCCAGGGGAGCGUGAGUAUCUAUACCCCCUGCUAGGGGAGUGUGGGCAUUUGUACCCCUUUUUGCCAGGGGAGUAUGAGUGUAUACCCACCAUUGUUAGUGAUAAAAAUGAGAAUAGUCUCCUUUCCCCUCUGGCCAGUGAAAAAUGAGCAUCUACAAUUUCUUCUUCCAUUAUCAAUUGUGUUUGAGUAUCUUUACUAUCCAAUACUAUGAUUAAUGCUAUAUGAAUAUCUGCCUCCCCAUCAUGUCGCCAAUGCAAGACAAAUAUCCCACCCUGCUUCCCUGGCAUGAGCAAAUUUACUGCCUUUUUCUUCCCUCUCAGGGGCCAGAGUAGGGGCAGGAUUUGGCUUUCUAGGUCUUUGAAUGAAGGAGAUGAAAUAUUUUGGGUGAUGUUUUGCUCAUGUUCCUCCCGCCCCUCUCGUGUUUUCCAGACUUUGGGCUGGCACGGUGCCUGACUUUCCUGGCUGAUGGUUGGCGCAGACACGCCAAAAAUUAAGAGGUGGGGGCUGUACAGGACAAAAAUGGUUCUCCAGUUUAACCCUCGAUGGUUACAGAGCUGGCUACGCCUCAUGUGGGAAGAUAUUGAGAACUAGUUCUAAAACUUUCCUUUAAUCAUACAGUAUAAAUCUGAUCUAAAAGUUUGCAAUAAGCUCCAUUAGUUCUUAUUCUCGAUACCCUGGUUGUGUUUCUGAACAUUCACCCAAAUCCACAACACACUCUCAGACAUACUGUGAUUUACAGGUGUCUACGGAGCAUUUUAUAAAGUUUAGGUGUUCAGAAAUUAAACUUAUCAGAAUAACAUACUUUACAUUUUUGAUUUGAUUCAUAACGCCUUUAACUAAAAAAAAAAAACAACAAUGUUUAGAUGUGUUAGAUGUGUAUGAUAUACUGGAUUUAUAAAUUAUUUUUGGCAUUGCGUUCUCAGCGUCUUCGUACACAUUCAGCCCACUGUAAAGACAUGUUUUGAUUGCUGAACCAGACUUCCAGGAGCAAAACACAUUUACUGCGCACUUACCAGACAGCCACAAUUACUACCAGCCUCUGUAAUGCUGCAUGGCAUAUGCAACUAGUCACCAGAGGUACCUUUUUGUCCACUGCACUAGAAAAGGCACUUAAGCAAACCACUAUUCUCGGAUAGCAGUCCAUUAAGGCAUUCCCCCAUAAACAAGUUACAGCUACAAGUAGUUUGAGAAAUGCUUAUCUGAAUAUAUAUCUCAAUGCACUGUUCGGCAAUUCUGUAAUUUAUAAUGUACAGGUAUAUGGAAUAACACACAUAUACAGUGUAACUGCUCACACACACCAGCACAAAGAGACUGUAUAAUUACACUCACAAACCAUCACACGGCUACAGUAAUGGCUUACUCUCGCACACUAGCAUGGAGAUACUCACACAUCAACGUAAAACAAUUGUGUAACCAAUCUGACACACUGCCAUACAGAUACAUUAGGGGUGAAAUCUCAGUGUUCAGUUCUAAAAGGUGAUCUAAAGUAUUAGACAUAGGAAAAUCAUCAUGGAAUCCAGUGGAACUGAAAAGUACAUUCCAUUGGUAAGUCUUAGAACUCAGAGCACAUUGAUAAAUCUCCCCUAGUGUAGCUAAUCACAUACCACAUGAAAACAGACCAUGUAAUAACAUUUACAAACUGGCACACAGUUACCAUAUAACUACAUAAACAAACCAUAACGAUGAGGUGGUCACUCACACACCAGCAUAGAGCUGCGAAGUAUCUGUCAUACCAACACAAAAACACAGUGUUACCACACUCGCAUACAGAUACAACAGGAGAGACAUUUCAAAGUCUCUAUUUUUUGGUUUAUCUGCCUGUAUUUAUUAAAGGAACACUAUAGGGUCAGGAACACAAACAUGUAUUCCUGACACUAUAGUGUUUAAAAAUACCAUCUAUCCCCCUAUCCCCCCCUCUCUUACCUCCCUAAAUAUAGUAAAAUCUUACUUUUGUUCAAUUCUGCAGCUGCUGGCUCUGCCCCUGAUCUGCCUGCUUGCCUGACAUCAUCAGAAGUGAUUAUUUUAGCCAAUCACAAUACUAUCCCAUAGGAUUGGCUAAGACUGUCAAAGAGGUAGAUCAGGGGCAGAACCAGCGCAAGCCAAACACAGCCCUUGCUAAUCAGCAUCUCCUCAUAAAGAUGCAUUGAAUCAAGGAAAGUUCAGUGUUGGAGACACUGAAUGGUAGUACUGCACAUUGUGCAGCACUACCCCAGGAAGCACCUCUAGCAGCCAUCUGAGGAGUGGCCAGUGGAGGUAUCACUAGGCUGUAAUAUAAACACUGCAUUUUCUCUGAACACAGUGUUUAUUGCAAAAUGCCUGAAGGUAAUGAUUCUACCCUAGAAGUUGACAUACACUAAAAAAUGAUUGGGGCACCAAAGAAGCAAAGGGGGGGGGAAAGGCAACAGAUUCGCUCUGCGACACGUUGAUAAACCUUCCCCAGUGUAACGACCCACAUACCAUCACAAAUAAAACAUGCGACUAUUCUCAAACCCUGGCUUGCAGAUACACUGGAUUAUAUAACAAAGUGAGCAUUCAAAGAGAAUUUUACUUUUAAGGCCAGAGUAGCAGACGUAGUGACACAACGUAUCUACUCGCACACCAAAAUACUGAGGCAAUGUCAUUACACACACACUAUAACCACAUAGCAGCACAAAUAUACAGUGUAACCAUACUCACAUAGUCUAACUACUCACUCACCUGUUCAGAUACAGUGUAACCAAGUUCAGACAUUAGCAAACACAAACCGUGUAAAUAUACUACCACCCCAAUUCACAACUAUAGAAUAACUAGCACACAGAUAUAGUGUAACUACAAUAACACAACAGCACACCGUUACAGUGUAAAUACACUCAAACACUAACGUACAUCUCUUAGGGCAUUCUUCACCUCUUGUUGUCAAAUAUCCCCAUUUUAUAAUUGCAAAGCGCUGCAGAAUAUGUUGGAGCUAUAUAAAGCGGAGUAAUUACACACCAGCCCACACAGACACACUCUUAGGUGUUUAAAUGAUGCAGUGUCAUCCACGUGAGCUUUUUAGCUUAUCUGGCUCCAAGUGCUCUAAAACGCGUGCCAUUUAUUGACAAAAUUCUAAUUCCCUCCAAUGAUGGCGCCAAUUUUCCCGUGUGUUUUACAGAAGCUUAUGGGAUACACUUGGGAAGGGCUAUAAAUAGCCAGCAGUCCCAUGUCUCAGUGCCCAAACAUAGUUUAGCAGUUUGAAUGUGUGCUGCUGAAUUUGUGAGAUACUGCUUGGCUCUGACUAUUCAAUCGGUAUAUCGUAUUCCUGACCUUGCUCGUUUAUUGACUAUUCUUUGUUUGUUGCCUGUACCGACUCUUGGCUUGUUUUCUGAUUUAUACAAUUUUCUGGCAUCCUGACCUAGGUUCGUCUAGUUUAUGCUUAUUUUAGUGUUUUAGGAGCCGUUAAAGAAAAACAAACACUAUAACCACUUACGUGUUUUUGAAGUAGAUGAAUUUUACUUCCCUUUACAGCCUCGCCACACAGGUUUUCAGCGGCUGCUCCACUUCCCUGGUAUCAUCACGAUUGAUUAUCUCAACCAAUCCAAUGUAUCCCUAUAGGUAAACAUUGGGAGUCUAGCGCACAUGCAGGGCACGUCUGAGUGCUGCGCCAAUCAGUUGAUCACAGAGGACACACCUCUAGUGGCGGUUUCAGCAAGGCAGCAACUACAGCUUAGUUGAACCCUAAAAUAAAAACAUUACGGUUUCUACAAAACUAAUUUUCAACAUUGCAGGAUUCAAACAAAAGGGCCACUGCACCCAGACCACUUUAUUGCCUUUUGGGGUUCUUUAACAACUUAAGGACGGCAGGCGUGCUAUAAUAAGUGUGGGUGCACUUAAUAUGAAAGAGGUGAAUUACUGUUGAACAGACAUAUAGUCAAAUUUGAGGUUUUGUUUACGCUUUAUUUUGAUCAAAACAUGUAUAGUCCUUAAAGGGACACUAUAGUCACCUGAACAAAUACAGAUCUAUAGCUCCCUGCAGGCAAUCUAAUGUAAACACUGUAUUUUCAGAGAAAAUUGAUAGGAAUACCUCCAGUGGCAGUCACUCAGAUGGCCAUCAGAGGGACUUCCUAUCAUGUAUGGCCCUAAAAAGGCCAUGUACAAGUCAGACAUAUUAAAAUACGUCUGACCUGUGCAGGAGAGAGAAGGCACUGUGUGCACGCCUUCUCUCUCCUGCCUGUCAGCAGAGGAGAGGGUCGGGCAAAGACCGCGAGCUGAGCUGUCAGUCAGUUCAGCUUGCGACUGCGCACACUGCGCGCAUCCGCGCGCAUCCACGGUAGUGCACUCAGGACUUCAUAGGGCGGCAUAAAUGCCGCCCUAUGAAGUAUGUGCGCAUGUGCGGCAAAGCCGCACAUGCACACAAGGGAGCAAUGACGCUUCCAAAUGGAAGCGUCUGAUUGCUCCCUGCUCGCGCCUGCCUAUUUCGGCAUUUUGACGAAAUAGGGGGAGCGGCUUCACGAGGCUCCCGGCGCUGGAACGAGGUGAGUAAAAAGGGCUGCCUGGAGUGUCCCUUUAAGGGGUUAAAGGGACAUUAUAGUCACCAAAACAACUUUAGCUUAAUGAAGCAGUUUUUGCGUAUAGCUCAUGCUUCUGGAGUCCCAUGGCUCAUUUCUCUGCCAGUGACUUGCCAACUCUUUCCUACUCCUAUACGUAGAGAUCCAAACCAUCAAUCCAAAGUACUGUAUACAUGAUAUCACUACUCUCUACAACAUGCAGACACUGUGUUAACACGUUUUUGCACCAAUCUCACUCAAACAGCCGUAAAGAAAUACAGAUCGUGUAAUCACACACACACACUAAACUCAGUUACAGAAAUACUGCUGACAUUCCUGAAUACAGAGGCAGUUAAACACAAUUAACACACACACUGAAGGAGAUUAAUCAGUGUUUUGUUGUAAAUUAAUGUAAAAGGAGAGCAGUCACGAAUGGAAUAUGCCUCUGCUGGUUCACUGCUUUACAUUUACGAUUGUUCCACUUUUAGUACUUUAAAUCCCUUUUUAGAACAGAACACUUUAGUAAAUCUUCCCCAUUGUAGAUACUCACAUUCCAGCACACAGUGACACUGUGCACAAUCACAAGUACAGAGACAGAGCAACAACACUUACUGAAUAUGCAAUGAUUAGGGGGAGAUAUAUCUUAGUGUUACCCGACACAGGUCAGAAAACUGUUACAGUAUAACAGUACAGUAUAACGCACAUUCUACAUACAGAGAGACUAUGUGAUCACACCACACCAGCAAACAGAGACACUCUAAGUACUAAUGCAACAGUACAUUCCAUAUAAGUACUUCCACAUCAUAACAUGGAUUCCAUGAUUUAUUAUAAGUGGCUUCAUGGGAACUAGCCCUAAUAAAUCAGUGGCAAGGUUAGGGAAGUUCCUAGGAAUUGGACCAGAAUGAUGGAUAUGGCCUAUGGAACUGUAUUCACUGGCGGAACUACCGCUGUCACAGCUGAGUCGCCGUAUGGACCCCUGCGACCGGGUGCCCACCGCCAUGUGUAUGUGGCCCCGGCCAUGCGGUAGAUCCACUGGGGUGGCACGUUAAGGGGCCCACCGGGUGGCCCAUGCUGUUAGGGCCACCCAAUGGCAAUGAAUAUCCAGGUGGCCCGGUCAGAGCUGUGGCUCUUUAACAGUGCGAUCGGGCCCCCUGUGAUGAGGUCAGAGCGCUGGGUGGAAGUGACUGCCCCUGUCACUUCCUCCCAACAGCCACCGGGAGCUGCGCGGGAGGAAGAGAGAAGGGUGUCAGAGUGGGAACUCUCACUCCCAUGAGGCUGAGCCACCACUGGACUACAGGGAAGUCACUCUCCUGUAUCUAAAAGGGAGGAAACAGGAGGGUGACGUUAACAUUUUGUGUGUGUGUUUGUGUUAGUGCCUGUAUGUAUGUGUGUGUGUCUGUAUGUGUGGGUCUCUGUGUAUGUGCGUGUGCAAUUUUCGCACCGGGCCCCUUGGUUUUUAGUUACGCCUCUGACUGUAUUAGAUACUUGGUUGGAUCUUGGAGACUUCUCAGAUUUGUUGAAUCAUUGGAAAUGGCCCAGGUAUGCUGGUAUGGUUGUUGGAAUUAUUGCAGGUAGUUAAUGGGGACACUCCAGACCCCUAAAGCAAUUCCGCUUGCUGCAGUGCUUUGUGUGAAGAGUGUGUCCUAUUAAUCCAGGACAUACUUGAAAACAAGAGAAAUUUCAAUGUAUCCAUCCUGGUAAAAUAUUUUUUAAAUAAAUAAAUUAAAGUGUUUUGGUUUUUUUCUUCUUGUAUUUGAGCAGUGUUCAUCUCAUUGUUGUAGUUAUAGUGUCUUGAGUCUCUGAUGCCAUCCUUAAAUUCAGCAUUAAACUGUUUUUAAAAUGUUUUAAUGCUAAACAGCAGUCCCAGCAGCCAAUGCCUCACUGUGCUGCAAAUGAGGAAACUUUAGCCUGAGCAGCAGUGGGUGGCCGUGAUUGGCUAAAAGUGUCAGCUCCUCGCUUUUUAGUCGAUUAUAGCCACCAUUGUUGGUAUGAACCGGUAUGACUAGAGUGUAAUCCCUACCUUAGCCACACAUUCAGUUGGGUCCGGAGUGUUGGUGGCCAGGGACCCUUAUUUAGUGUUAAACUGCUCAAAAAUGUUUUGACACUGAAUAAAGGGAUCACACCAAAGAACUCAAGGCGCGAUAGCAAAUUUAACAAGCAGAAAUUAUUACAGUGCUUAUAGUAUCCAGUGUCCCUUUAAAUAGGUUCUCAAGCAGUAUCAGAUAGGUACGUUUCAUGGGAAUUAGCACAGAUAGAUGUCGAAUAUUUGGAAAAUGCCCAGUUAGAUUAGUUAAACUGUAUUGGCGUAGGUUACAAAGUAUCGGUGGUUGAUUAGUAGGUGCAUUGUAUAUGUGAACCGUUUCAGUGUGCACUAUUCUUUUUAGCUAUUUAAGAAUGGAUCUGAGCAUUCCGUGCUCUCUGCCCUUACUGGGGCCUGUUUUCUAUCAGAGGAAGCUGUGCUGCUGAAGGAGGAGAUAGAGAGGGGAGAUGGGAAGACGCAGAGGCGUGAUUAGGAGAGACUGGGGUAUUAGCAGAGGGGAAGGGAGAUUAGGAGGGGGAUUGGGUCACUGUGUUCAUGGAAGUUGUCAGGAAAUAAAUAAACAGAAUAUAAAGCCAGUCCAGGAAUAGAUUUGCUGACGUCAAUGAAUUCCACAGUUGUGGCCUCAGAUAGAGGGGAAGGAAGCAAGAUGGGAGGAGCGGAGAAUGAUGGGGAGAAGAGAGCAGUGGAGAGAAGAGGAGGGAGAGAUGGAUAGAUUUUAAGAAAAAGAGGAUAGUAAUAGGAAGAAGAUAAAUAAGAAAGUUAAAUAGAAUAGAGCGAGAACAAUUCUUUUUAUAAAAAAUCUUAUUAUUUUGUAUUGUCAAAAUCCUGCAACUGUGGUCCAGUUAUAUAGUCGCCGAUUUAAUAUUUCUAAACUUUGGUAUGACUUGCUACAAUUUUAUAUGUUAUAAAUACUAAGGGAAAAACGUGAUAAGGAAAGAGGCGAGGAGGAAAAGAAAAGGGAGAGAGGGAAGGAAGAUCGACAGGGAGAAGAGCGAGGACAAAUUGAGAAAAUGAAAACAAAGGCGACAAUGAGUUGCAGGAGACAAAAAGAGUAAAGAUAUAGGCAAGGAGAAAGAGAGAGAAAUUGGAAGUUUAUUUUCUAAAUACUACAUUUCAAAUUAAAAACUAAGCGGCAUGUUUCGAUUAAAAGUGCUAAUUUGGAGAAAAAAAACAUUGCCUACUCAUUUAUUGUCAGGCUUCGGUGACGAGGGAAGGAGUAAAGACAGAAUGAUAGAUAAGGAUGCAAGUAAAAUGGAGGUAGAACAAAUGACAGGGAUAAGAGAGGUGUAAAGGGAAGGAGAGGGACUGAAAAUGUUAUGGAGGUGGGAGGGAUAGACAGGAAAUGAUGGUGACAGAGUGAGAGCAGAGAGAGAAAACUAUCACAGUGGGGAAAUACCAUACCUCCCAAGUGUCCCUAUUGAAAUGGAACAGUCCCUAUUUCUAUCGCAAUGUCCCUCUUUUCCAGGAACUCUGCAUUGUUAAUGUGUCUUAGUGUUUAACAGUGCUCCACAGCAACAAUACUAACAGUACAGUCGUUAAACUACAAUAAAUGUGUUUAGAAAUCCGCCUGUGUGAAUAAGAUACAUUGUUCUUGGUCUACAUUACAUUGUUGUGGCAUAAAUUAUAAGUAAGUUGCCUAAAAUUUCUCAGAACAGCCAUCGUCACUGGCCACCUCCUCCUCAAAACUAAAGCUUCCAUCAGCUUGUCCAAUUGAAAUAUUAAACAUAGAGAGAAUGGGGAUGUAGAUAACGCGUGAUAGAUGGAGGCAGGGGAAAUGAGAAGAAAGUAUUAACUGAGAAUUUUUAAUAAAGUCAAUGAAAAUGAGUGGAAAAAAUAUAGAGUAAUGUGAAUAUGCAGGAAGAGUACAUUGUAGAAAGAUUUGGAGACAAAGAUUUGGAGGCCGAGCAAGUGAUAAGAAAAGCGAGGAAAUGAUAGAUUGUUUCUGAGAGAUGGUAAAUAUUAAUGUAAUAUAGGGAGUAUGGGGGAAAUUCUCGGGUUAUAGAGAGAGGGGGAUAUGGAUGGAAGGGAAAUAUUUAAAGUGCACUUCUGUAAUAAAAUUUCUCUAAAAAUACUUAUGUAAAUUAUAGUCAUGUCAAAAUGUAUGUGUGUGUGUGUGUGUGUGUGUGUGUGUGUGUGUAUAUAUGUAUAUAAAAAUUAAUGUUUGAAUGAAACUUUAUAAUUUUUUAUUUUUUCCCCCAGACAUACACUCCUCCUCCUCCAUCGUUCCAACGCUGCCAUGAGCCCAUCUUCAUGGGCGUGGAGAUACCUUCCUGCAUUGUCAUUGAGGCAAUGCUUUGCUAUAAUGAACGCUUAAUGUGUGCCCCGCGCAUGUGCAUUAGUUCCUCCCAUCGGCUGACGUCUGAGAGGGUGGAGUGUGACCCAGUGCCUAGGGACCUCAGAGCUGGAAUUGG